rnacentral:lncRNA from 10 species
CUGCCCCACAGGGAGGCAGCUGAGGCCCCACGAGAAUUCAAGCUCCACGCUGGCCUGCCGGCACUGCUGGGGGACCCAGAAAACCCUCUGCAGCUGCUGGACCGGGUGCUAAGCCCCUCACUGCCUGGGCCGGCUGCGCGGGCCGGCCAUUCCAAGUGCGGGCCCGCAGAUACCACACCCACCCGGAAGUCCUCCUGGCCCACAAGCUCCGCGGCGCAGCCCGGGUUCCCGCCCACGUCUCUCCUUCCGGGGCUCUCACUCCAUACCUCCCCACAAGCUGAGGGAGCCGGCUCCGGCCUCAGCCAGCCCAGAAAGGGGCUCCCACAGUGCAGCGGGCUGAAGGGCUCCUCAAUAGCGACCAGAGUGGGCACCAAGGCCGAGGAGGCACCAAAAGCGAGUGAGGGCUGCGAGGGCUGCGAGGGCUGCCAGCACAUUGUCGCCUCUCAGUAGGGUCUUUGAGAGACAAGGUAUUUCACUGUAACAGACAUCAGACUAAAAGAUAAAACCCUGACACUUUGGACAUUUCAAAAGUUAAAAUAAUUGUAUACCCUUCAAUUAUUGGAACCAUUUCAAUCAAUGCCCUAUACUAUGCCAAAUG